ACGGGAGGCAGCAGUUAGGAAUAUUGGACAAUGGGGGAAACCUUGAUCCAGCCAUGCCGCGUGAGUGAAGAAGGCCUUCGGGUUGUAAAGCUCUUUUGUAUAGGAAAAAGAUGAUGGUACUAUAAGAAUAAGCACCGGCAAACUUCGUGCCAGCAGCCGCGGUAAUACGAAGGGUGCAAGCGUUGUUCGGAAUUACUGGGCGUAAAGGGCGUGUAGGCGGAUAUAUCAGUCAGGAGUGAAAUCCCGGGGCUUAACUUCGGAAUUGCUUUUGAGACGGUAUAUCUAGAGUGUAUUAGGGGACAAUGGAACACCCAGUGUAGAGGUGAAAUUCGUAGAUAUUGGGUAGAACACCGGAGGCGAAGGCGAUUGUCUGGGAUACAACUGACGCUGAGGCGCGAAAGCGUGGGGAUCAAACAGGAUUAGAUACCCUGGUA
rnacentral:rRNA from 1 species